AGGCCGAGUUCUGCCAUGGCAUCUGGUUUCAACACAACCCGCUGCCACCCCUAAUUUAGGCUGCCCGCCCCAUGAUAAGGGUAAUGAACUAGGGGGGCAGGCCACUUCCCCUGGGGGGGAAGUUCUCCUUCCCUGUCCCAGCCGCUGAGACUAACUCAGAUUGUCUGGCAGCAGGCCCAUCUCCAUCACUCCAGGCCACAGCCCCAGUUUUUGCAGUCCCAGACAAAGCCCCGUCUCACAGCAAGAUCAGGGUUUCUAAUUGCACACUGGAGUAAUGUUUUCUUGAUCAGCUUCCUUGCUGAAGGGAAAAGAGCAGUCAUAAAAUCCUACAUGAUAGUUUGGGGGUUGCUGGUUGGCUGUUAAAAAGGAGGUACCACUCUGGCUGUGCUGGGCAAGGAGAAGGAAGAACUGCUCCCAGGCCAGCAAGAGAAGGAUAGCUUCAAUUCUGCUGUUAGCAAAGGAAGGGGAGCUGUUCUCCAUCUCCUCUCCCCCACAAGCCCUUCUACCUUAACCCAAAUCCUGGAAGAGUUAUAUGGAGAGAGGAGCUGUAUUUUUAGGCCAGCUAUUCAUGACCCAGUCUCUUAGAUAUACCUAUUGCCAUCAGCAUGGCCAACUCAUGAGUCAGGUCCCCAAAAUACUUGCUUGGCUCAAACUCAUGAGAUUUUAAAACCUAAUACACUUUGGGUUCUUUGUAUAUGCCUUCUGGUUUUUGAGUCCUUAGGGUUCACAUUUUCAGGCUUUUUUCUGUAACUAUGAAGACUAUAAAUUUACUUUUAAAAUUAAAGCUGAGAGUCUCACUUAGUCACAUGACUCCAGAAGUUGUAGCUUUAAUAAAAAUAUCAGCUAUCCCAAGACUCACUAAAAUCAUGAGUUUACAAAACCUUAACAUACUCUUUAGUGAGUCAAAUAAAUUACUAGUGUAACAGCAUCUCCAAACUUAUUUUAAUGUAAUUCCACAUCAAGAUUUAAUUUGUUCAGUAUGUUUACAUACCGUAUCUUCUUACAUAGGUCAGUAAUUUUACUCACAAAUAUGUAUGUUACUCUGGACCCUGGGUAAUCCUUAACAUUUCAUUUGUGUAAAAACUAUAGAUAAAUGGAAAGAGGAUACUUUUUUUUUUUUAACUGUAAGAAAGCAACAUAAAAGGAGCUAUGCACUUAUUAGGUAGAAGGGAGAGAAGGGCUAGCUAUAGUAGGCAGAGGCAAAAUAAUUGCUUUAGCACUGCAGCUGAUUGUUUCUUCCAAAUUUAAAGGGGCAGUUACCACACAGGCAUGCUGGGAGAAGCUAUAAAAGGAUAAACGCAGUGAUUCCUAGGCAGUCAGGCCCUUUGGAAGGUUUUUAACCUACAGCAGUGUGUGCGGGAUUAGGCCCAAUUAAAGUAAAUUUCACGUACAGAAAUAUAUUGUAGUCUUCUCUUUAGAAGGGCAUUUUUGGGUACGAGACAGCUUGAGUUGUCUAGAGCUACAAACUGGCAUCUUUACACAUUCUCAUGGCCAUUUGUUUACCUGUGAAAGUUUAAAUAUUUUUUAUAAAUUUGUUGUGUAAACUAAAGUUAUAUUUGAGUGCUUUAAAUAUUCAUGGUGUAUGUCUUACUGCUUCAUGCUAAAAAUUGAUCUGUAGUGACAAUCUGCUCAAAAACUCUUUCUAGCUCUAUAUAGAUUGGCCUAUGCUACUUUAGGGAAAAAUGAAUUGGAAGGAGGAGAAAGCUCAACAUACGCCCUUGAGCAAAGGCAAUGAGUGAAUUAAUAAGAGGGAGGUAAAAACUCACAGUUCUUCCUUUGAGGGAAAGUACAGCGUUAUGGAUGGGAGAAAUGGCACUUUUCUUGGCCCACCGAAAUUGUCAUUUAAUCAACACUUUUAAAGAGCUGGUGUGAGGUUUUUAAACUAUUCCAAAUUUCCAGUCUGUAGUCCUGCUAAAGCUACACAGUUUUGAAGUAUUAGGACAAUGAAAUCAGAUCAGCCCAGGAUACAUUUGGUUGUCUGAUUUGGCUUAAAAUACAACUAUCUUCAUAGUCUGCUAAUAAGGGCUUUCAGGGCAGUGCACUCCUUUCUUCCUGAUACUUGGAUAGACACAGACAUAUAAGUUAUGUGGUUAAUUGCCAGAUAUUUGCAGUGUAAGUGAAUGCAUGUAUACCUAUAUCAAAAUAUAGAGAAAAAUCUUGCAUGCAUGAAUAAAUUCUGGUUUUCUACCUGUUCCACAAAACUCCAUUUACUAAUUUAGUAAGCAAAGUGUCAAGAUUUUGAAUCCUAGCAGACCAUGUCAAGUUCAAUUUUUUCAGAUCCGCUGUUGUCUGAGGUCAUCCAAUAAUAAAGAAUGAUGAAGUCACAGAUCUUUUUUUUUGGAACUGUCAGUAGGGAAGCCUGUGCUGUGCUGCGUGUGGCCAUGAGGCUUUCUCUUGCUUCUGGUCCUCAGAGUGAUUAACAUGUAAUACUCUGUUGUGUCAGAGGUGGCAGCAUUUUGCACAAAUAAGGCCAAAAUAUUCAAAAGUGGCAAUUAGUUCUGGGUGCCUCAACUUUUGGUGCUCCAUUUGAGACAUGUUAGGUUCUGAUAUAAGGGCUAAGCACCUACAACUUCAAAAGGAGACAUGGAUUCUCAUUACCCCUGAAAAUCAGGCCCAAAGUGGCACAUAAAUCAGGGGGCACUCCUGAAAAUGUUGAUGUUAGUGUCUCUUCUGUUCAGUGUUGUAUUCCUUGUUUUAGUUAGCGUUCUCCCCAGCCUGAGCUUGCUGCCAGACUUCCUUCAGGGUAGAAAAAUAGUAGCUGCAGAAGAAAAUUCUCAUUCAUGAACUGAUAAAAACAAUCAUGUCAGAUUCUACCACGAAAAUAAUAGGGAGGUCUGGAGCAAUGUUAACUAUGCAGGUCAUCAAUGUAAAACAAAUGCAUCCUGAAGGCAACUAAAUUCAGUGAAAAUGAUUAUUUGUACUUCCGAUGAGCGAACUAGAUGAUAUGCAAAUGUCUGCUUCUUGCCUGUUUAUCAGAGGUGAAUAAUAAUUUUGCUGUAUCUUUAACUCACUCUCUCUCUCUCCUUAUUAAUUGAAAAGGAAGAAUUCACAAUUGUGAAAUACCUUCAGCCAUAGAAAUUAUUUCCAGCUUCAACCUAUGGCUUGUUAUUCAGCACAUGUGCAACGAUACAUAUAUGGCCUUCAUUUUUUGGUGGCCAUCAGGCUUUAUUGUUCAUCAAGGUAACUGUUUAUUUACUAAGGUAAAACUAAGGUCAAUAUUUACCUAUCGCAUCAAUAGGUCUUGAUGUUCAUUUUAGCAGACCUCAGAGUCUGCAUAUUGCUUUUGAUAGUCUGUUCAUCUUUCACAGAUAUUCUGAUCACAUUCCAAUCCUUCAGCUUUCCAACUGCAAAAUUUCAUACCCCUUCCACAACUAAAACUUGAGUAGAGAUUGAAAUCCAGUCUCUCAGCAUCAUCCUAACACCGCAAAUCUUCCUGCUGUCUUUGUAUUUAAAUCUUAGUUUUUGAAACUAUAUUUUAAAUUAAGAUUAAAGAUUAAAUCUCUUGUGUGGAGUGAUAUUACUCUGUAUAUCUGCUGGAGCUUUGAGGCUGCCUGCUUGUAUUUCUCCAGGCCUUUGCUUGCAGCACUGUCCUUUUGGCAGAGAUGAAAUGGAUGGGACUCCCUUGAGAACUGGAUUUUCCUCCUGAGUUAACGGGAGGGGUUGCUGUUGAAUGUUGCAAGGCAGUGUCUCUCACCACAAUAUCAUAGACUUAAACUGAGCAUUCCAGAACAUAAACCAACAAACUGAAGAGUUGUACUAUCGUGCUAGUCCUUUAGUAAGCACAAUUUCUUUUGCAGAUGUUUGAUACCCAAGAUUUCUAUAUCCAGUACAAGAUUUAUUUUUGUUCCUCUCAAUCAGUGUUCAAUAUUUAGUUGUAUUAAUCUGAAUUCCUUCUGACACCUUCUAAGAAGCUUGAAAAUGGGGUGGGGGAUUUUAUUAUUUAAGCCCUUUUCUAUUUGGCAAACAUUUAUUUCCCUUCCCCCCCCCCCCAUGUGUUUUUGGAUGAAGUUGACAUGAACAUGUGUUUUUGUUUAGCAGCUACAAUUUUAACUUGCAUUCAUAGUGAUUCUUUGCAUGGUAGCAUGAUUGUCAGUACAGAUGUGGAAACCUUACUUGCUAGUUAAACAUUGCUGCAGAACCUGCAAAGCAAGAACAAAAGGUGGUUUUAUAGGUCUUAUAAAAUACCAUUGUUAUGGUUUUCAAGUUCUUGUUGAUGAGAGUAUUAGAUUUAGAAGUAAACAAAGAAUCUGGAUAAAUUAUCCAGAUUCUAAGCAAGAUUGAAUCUGGUGCUUAAAGAGUUUGACAUUGCCUUCUUAAAAAUCUUAUCUUUAAAAGCCUACUAUAAAUUGUAAAUGUUAGAUAUCUGUUUUGUUGUCACCGUAUCCCACAGCUUUCCCUGGCAACAGCUGGAGGUGUUUAAUUUCACUCAAAGAUCCUGUGAACCAUUUCUCUCUCCUGAAUUGCAGUUCAUGCAUCAUUUUUCUAUAACAGACUUUUUUAAUAAUUAGGAACAACCUCAUAUCAGUUAAUUUAGGUCUUAAAACCAUGAUUUAAAAAAAUCCCAAGUUGUCAUUUAUAGGAAUUUCUGUGCAGUGACAGAUGGUCUCCAGACACAUGGGCAGAAGAAGAAAGGGUCUUCAGGAGGCUCACCACUAAAUUUCAUACAAGUCUGUAAACUGAACAAAUAUAACCGUACCUAAGGAUUGAUUGCAGAAAGGAAUAGCACAGUGUGCUCCUUGAGUGGGUGUUGGGCUAAUCGCUUUUCUGUAAAGGAUAAAAAGGAUAUUAGGAGGAGAUACCUAGAGGCUUAAACUGUCUCCAUAUGGAGUGGCAUUACAUGCAGGUUCUUAGGUGUUUGUUUUUUCCUUUGUCAGUUACAAGGUAUAUAAAAUACACUCUUUGUGUGAACUAAGUAUGAGCUAGUUCACCUGAUGGGUGAAACUGAAUGGGCCAAAGUGGUCCCUGGUAUAACUCCAUUGAAGUAACUGAAGUUACGUCAUGAAUAAAUUUCCCCCAACACUAACAAGCAAAUUUUUUCUUUAUUGCUUUAAACUUAUAAUUAGAAAUGGAUCUGAACAGAAACCCAGAUCCAAACCACCUUGAAAUUUAGGAGAGUCCAGAGCCAAACUUAAUGACUAGCUCCUGUUCAACUAAUGGAAUGAACCAGAAUUGCAGAUUGACAUAUCCCCUUACUCCAAGCAUGUUUUACUGUCUGUUUCAACACUGCAGCUUGACCCCAUGUCAACUUGUAGGUAAUUAGUGAUUUUAUGUUCUGACUGAUAUAACGUGGAGCAGUUAUAGACAAUACAUAGUUAACGUAACUGACUCACACAGUGUCCAUUCAAAAUAACCCAGAACUUCCUAAACUACAAAACAACCAUCCACACACCAGCUCUUUAAAUGCUCUAUGUAGGAACAGUCCUGAAUACAAACGCAACAGAGUGACCUCAAUGGAUGCAGGUGAAAUUUCUUACAAUGCUCAGUAAAGUUGCAUAUCUAGGUGCAAGUGACCUGGAAUCUGUUGGUCUAAUAAUUUGUCUCUGACCCUAAAUCCCCAUGCAAUGUCAUCUAAAUUAUCUGUGUAGUGCAGGAAAUAUACAAAAUACUUUACAAAACAAACAACAUUAGCAAUAUCACUCCCAAAAGCAUAUGCAGUCUUCUGAUUCCAGUGUCCAUCCCUUCUUUCACUCAGAGCACAAAACUCACUGUGGAUAAAAUUUACCCCUCUGUAAGGGGUCAGCAUUAAGUAUAUGCAUAUGUCACCUGAACUCAUGGCCUAUGCACUAGAUGAGUCCUACCGUCUCUUCUGAAGGACCCCAUCUUUUGAAGGUUUAAGUGGGAUUGAAGUGAUGCAUAUGUAUUGUGGUAUCCCCCACAUACAGGGAUGAAUUUCAUCUGAUUUGAAUAGCAGAAGAGAAGGAAAUUAUCACUCUACUAUGUCAUCGCUGGAGACAGUUUGGUACAAUAACAUCGGCAAAAGCAGAUUCAGCAAUUACAGCAACGUGACUGGAAACAGGUAGAAAAUAAUGGAAGAGCUGUUGUAACAAUCAUUUCAAAGACGCUAAACAUUGCAUGCUCCCAAGGCAGUAAAACAAUGACAGUAAAAAGCAUCCAAACUGGGACUGCCAAAAAUGUCUUGGCAUAACACAUUUCCAAGAUGCCCUUAAAAAUUAAAAUCAGGAAAAACUGCUCUUUUUGGUGUAUGUGACGCAGCAUGAAUCAUCAGCCCUUCCUCUGUGUGUAAAAAAAUUUAGAUGAAAAUGCAGCAUGAAGGAAUAAAAAUAAAAAGCUCUGAGUACAGGAGAGAAAACAUGUGUCCCCCAUUCUGAGGAUUUUGAGAGAGUGUAUCAGUCUCUGUCAGCAACAAUAACUUCCUCCAGACACACAUGCGGUAAGAGGAGUCCAGUAACAUGAGCCCUUUCAAAAGGUACUGGAUUGAUCCCAUAUUUUGUUUGAGGGCUGUAUCUUGGUUGUUUUGGACAGUAAUUGACUGAAGAAUAUGUUAGUUUCUGUAUUGUUUUCAAAGAGAUCAAUUUUUCUGUUUUAUGAAUCCUAUAAUGACUGACCUGAGGAA